rnacentral:rRNA from 1 species
AGAGUUUGAUCCUGGCUCAGAACGAACGCUGGCGGCAGGCUUAACACAUGCAAGUCGAACGGUUGUAGCAAUACAGCAGUGGCAGACGGGUGAGUAACACGUGGGAACCUUCCUAGGGGUACGGAACAACUCAGGGAAACUUGAGCUGAUACCGUAUACGUCCGUGAGGAGAAAGAUUUAUCGCCCUUAGACGGGCCCGCGUCGGAUUAGCUAGUUGGUGGGGUAACGGCCUACCAAGGCGACGAUCCGUAGCUGAUCUUAGAGGAUGAUCAGCCACACUGGGACUGAGACACGGCCCAGACUCCUACGGGAGGCAGCAGUGGGGAAUCUUGGACAAUGGGCGCAAGCCUGAUCCAGCCAUGCCGCGUGAGUGAAGAAGGUCUUCGGAUUGUAAAGCUCUUUUGCCAGGGACGAUAAUGACGGUACCUGGAGAAUAAGCCCCGGCAAACUUCGUG